rfam:Gossypium arboreum cultivar AKA8401 contig_83815_1, whole genome shotgun sequence.
AACCCAUGGUGAAGGCAUCUUCUCAAGAGAUCUUUGUAUCUCUCCCAUGCAACGUAGAGUGUUUUUAAAUCCAUCUGCACAAAGGAAGGGAUAUCUUUACUUAAUUU